rnacentral:rRNA from 1 species
UACGAAGGGGGCUAGCGUUGCUCGGAAUCACUGGGCGUAAAGCGCACGUAGGCGGCUUCUUAAGUCAGGGGUGAAAUCCUGGAGUUCAACUCCAGAACUGCCUUUGAUACUGAGAAGCUUGAGUCCGGGAGAGGUGAGUGGAACUGCGAGUGUAGAGGUGAAAUUCGUAGAUAUUCGCAAGAACACCAGUGGCGAAGGCGGCUCACUGGCCCGGUACUGACGCUGAGGUGCGAAAGCGUGGGGAGCA